rnacentral:rRNA from 1 species
AACGAACGCUGGCGGCAUGCCUAACACAUGCAAGUCGAACGAGACCUUCGGGUCUAGUGGCGCCCGGGUGCGUAACGCGUGGGAACCUGCCCUUAGGUUCGGAAUAACUCCCCGAAAGGGGUGCUAAUACCGGAUAAUGUCUUCGGACCAAAGAUUUAUCGCCUUUGGAUGGGCCCGCGUUGGAUUAGCUAGUUGGUAGGGUAAAAGCCUACCAAGGCGACGAUCCAUAGCUGGUCUGAGAGGAGGAUCAGCCACACUGGGACUGAGACACGGCCCAGACUCCUACGGGAGGCAGCAGUGGGGAAUAUUGGACAAUGGGCGAAAGCCUGAUCCAGCAAUGCCGCGUGAGUGAUGAAGGCCUUAGGGUUGUAAAGCUCUUUUACCCGGGAUGAUAAUGACAGUACCGGGAGAAUAAGCGCCGGCUAACUCCGUG